rnacentral:rRNA from 1 species
UACGUAGGGGGCAAGCGUUGUCCGGAAUCAUUGGGCGUAAAGAGCGUGUAGGCGGCCCGGUAAGUCCGCUGUGAAAGUCCAGGGCUCAACCCUGGGAUGCCGGUGGAUACUGUUGGGCUAGAGUCCGGAAGAGGCGAGUGGAAUUCCUGGUGUAGCGGUGAAAUGCGCAGAUAUCAGGAGGAGGACCAGUGGCGAAGACAGCUCGCUGGGAGGGUGCUGACGCUGAGACGCGAAAGCGUGGGUAGCGAACAGG